UGCAUUUGAAGGCUUUGGUGAGCUUGUUGAAGUUAAAAUUAUAAUGGACAAAAUUUCCAAAAGGUCCAAAAGUUAUGCAUUUAUAGAGUACACUACAGAGGAGGCUGCUAGUGCAGCACCCAAAGAGAUGAAUGGCAAGAUUAUUAAUGGCUGGAUGAUAGUUGUUGAUGUUGCCAAGACUAAUCCACCAAGAUACAGCAGGGGUCGCCCCAGAUAGGAAUUUUGAGAAGAGAACGAUUACUGAUCCACUGUCUUCAAGGUCAAGCAAGAUAUUCAGGCUACAGCUCA